ACGGGAGGCAGCAGUGGGGAAUAUUGGACAAUGGGGGGAACCCUGAUCCAGCGACGCCGCGUGAGUGAAGAAGUAUUUCGGUAUGUAAAGCUCUUUAAGCAGGAAAGAAAAUGACGGUACCUGCAGAAUAAGCCCCGGCUAACUACGUGCCAGCAGCCGCGGUAAUACGUAGGGGGCAAGCGUUAUCCGGAUUUACUGGGUGUAAAGGGAGCGUAGACGGCAAUGCAAGUCUGAAGUGAAAGCCCGCGGCUCAACUGCGGGACUGCUUUGGAAACUGUAUGGCUAGAGUGUCGGAGAGGUGAGUGGAAUUCCCAGUGUAGCGGUGAAAUGCGUAGAUAUUAGGAGGAACACCAGUGGCGAAGGCGACUUUCUGGACUGUAACUGACGUUGAGGCACGAAAGUGUGGGGAGCAAACAGGAUUAGAUACCCUGGUA
rnacentral:rRNA from 1 species